rnacentral:snoRNA from 1 species
AUUCCGUGAUGAGGGCACUUUCGUAAUAACUCUUUGAAUCUUUCCCAUGCCUCAUACAAUGACUCAUCAUCCAUUUGUUGGAAAGCAGUAAUCUCAUUUCUCAGCUU